rnacentral:rRNA from 1 species
CCUACGGGAGGCAGCAGUGAGGAAUAUUGGUCAAUGGACGAGAGUCUGAACCAGCCAAGUAGCGUGAAGGAUGACUGCCCUAUGGGUUGUAAACUUCUUUUAUAUGGGAAUAAAAUGUUCCACGUGUGGGAUUUUGUAUGUACCAUAUGAAUAAGGAUCGGCUAACUCCGUGCCAGCAGCCGCGGUAAUACGGAGGAUCCGAGCGUUAUCCGGAUUUAUUGGGGUUAAAGGGCGCGUAGGUGGAUUGUUAAGUCAGUUGUGAAAGUUUGCGGCUCAACCGUAAAAUUGCAGUUGAAACUGGCAGUCUGGAGUACAGUAGAGGUGGGCGGAAUUCGUGGUGUAGCGGUGAAAUGCUUAGAUAUCACGAAGAACUCCGAUUGCGAAGGCAGCUCACUGGACUGCAACUGACACUGAGGCUCGAAAGUGUGGGUAUCAAACAGGAUUAGAUACCCCAGUAGUC